rnacentral:rRNA from 1 species
GACGAACGCUGGCGGCGUGCUUAACACAUGCAAGUCGAACGGAAAGGCCCUGCUUUUGUGGGGUGCUCGAGUGGCGAACGGGUGAGUAACACGUGAGUAACCUGCCCUUGACUUUGGGAUAACUUCAGGAAACUGGGGCUAAUACCGGAUAGGAGCUCCUGCUGCAUGGUGGGGGUUGGAAAGUUUCGGCGGUUGGGGAUGGACUCGCGGCUUAUCAGCUUGUUGGUGGGGUAGUGGCUUACCAAGGCUUUGACGGGUAGCCGGCCUGAGAGGGUGACCGGCCACAUUGGGACUGAGAUACGGCCCAGACUCCUACGGGAGGCAGCAGUGGGGAAUAUUGCACAAUGGGCGGAAGCCUGAAGCAGCAACGCCGCGUGCGGGAUGACGGCCUUCGGGUUGUAAACCGCUUUCGCCUGUGACGAAGCGUGAGUGACGGUAAGGGGUAAAGAAGCACCGGCUAGCUACGUG